rnacentral:lncRNA from 1 species
AGCAGCAGCAAGGAGGCCAGGAUUUUUUUAUUCAAUCAUUCGAUUUCUAAUUCAUAAGAGGGUGGCCUUUAUAUAGGCCUAACAUCAGGUCAAACAUUUGACGACAUACCAAAAUUGGACCCUCAAUCGUUGACUAAGUCAACCGAUUGAUUACAUACCAAAAUCGAUCCAAUCACUCGAUCCAAUUACAUGACUUAACAGCUAACUCAAUUGACUUGAUUAAAACAAAAGCAAAUAACCAAAUCGACUCAAAUGCAGAAAAUAAAAAUAAAAUAGACUCAAAUGGAUCCAAUUUGGGCCUGACUCAAAAUCAAUGGCCCAAGACCAUCUUUUAGCCAUAAUGAUGUCAACCUCUAGUGCGAACGCGAGCGAGCGGCUCUGAUGGCUCGAUCGUCUAAACGAACGGCUUUGAUGUCUCCAUCAACUCCUCUCAGGUGGAAAAAAAACUCGACCCCGUCGAGUGUAGGUCUUUAGGACAACCUACCUAAGCAACUUGUUGGAAAGUAGAUGACCAGAAUCGCUCGUAGGCUGGGCGACGUCAGGGACGCAGUGCAGCUGAUGGGCUCUCUAGUUGUCGUAGAGAGAAUUGGGGUCAGUCAGCCCGGUGGGCCUGAUUGCCGCUCUCAGGAACUUGGUAGGCCUGUAACCAAAGAGGAAAGGGGAAACAGGCCUGCGGGUCGUGGGCUUGAAGGCUGCACGGGCUGUUGAAUAAGGGAGGGAUGUGUGGCACCCCCUGGAGAAGGAAGGCCUGUGGCAAUGGGCUCUACAGUGGUGGUGCGGCCUGUUAAGAAGGUCGUGUGGUCCUUGUGGGGCAUGUGGGCCUGCUAAGAAGGAGGGGGGAUGUGGUGUGCGUUGGCAAGCCCGAAAGGCCUAACGGGCCUGCGGGUUGUGUGAUUGGGCCUGUUUGGGCCCGACCGUGGGUUGAGAGAACCGGAGGGGAGGGGGGAGGUAGAUUCCGACGAGGGGAAGGAUGGGAGGGGUUUGCAGGGGCUGUGACUCGAAGGAGGAGGGAAGCGUGGGAAGGGGGGUGGCUCGAUGGCGGUGGGG